rnacentral:rRNA from 1 species
UACGUAGGGACCGAGCGUUGUCCGGAAUCAUUGGGCGUAAAGAGCGUGUAGGCGGCUCGCUAAGUCUUGCGUGAAAUCUCGGGGCUCAACCCCGAGCGGUCGUGAGAAACUGGCGGGCUAGAGUGCGGGAGAGGAGAGUGGAAUUCCUGGUGUAGCGGUGGAAUGCGCAGAUAUCAGGAGGAACACCAAUAGCGAAGGCAGCUCGCUGGGACGUUACUGACACUGAGGCGCGAAAGCGUGGGGAGCGAACAGG